UCACCUAUAUAUGUUUAUUGUUCUUUCUUCUUGCCCCAAUUCUAGGUUUGUAUCUCUGUUCACAUUGUUUCAUUCACUUUUCAGUUUCAAUUCAAGAAUACUUAGAGAUGAGUUCUUCUGAGAAUAAGGGAAAGAAGGACAAGCAAAUACUUGUAUAUCAGAGAAGAAACAAAGGAACUGUUUCUGAGAAAAAAACAUUACCCCACCCCACUGAAGACAUUUCUGUACCAUCAGAAGGUUUUGGUAACUAUGAAGGCAAGGUGAAUCGAGAGAUAGGAGAAGAUGGAAGUUAUUAUGAGUGUGAAAUUUGUUUUGAUGGCGGAGACUUGCUCUGCUGUGAUACUUGUCCUCGUGCUUAUCACCUUAAGUGUCUCUCUUUAGAGUCUGUUCCCGAAGGAAAAUGGCAAUGCUCACAAUGUGUGCUUGCUAGUAAUUCAAAACCCAAAGACAAGAAAUUGAAGCGCAUGAAAGUGAAACACAACAAGAAAGUGAAGCAUGAAAAGAAUGAGUAGAUAUCAAAAUAUGCCAUUCUAUAUUAUGAGGUUUGGAAGGCAAAUGUGGCAUCAACGAGAGGUAUAUGGAAUGAUGGUUUAAAUAGGAAAUUAAGGCCAACUUUGUGUUCAAACUCGAUGUUCAUGUUGUAGUUUUAUGUGAUUGAUUUUCAAAUUCUGUUGGAAUCCGGACUUAGGAUAUGUUUGGAUUCUCGUUUGUGCUCCAAACAAUAGUUUGGGGAGUAAACUCAAUUUCAUGACAUGUUUG